rnacentral:lncRNA from 1 species
CUUCGAAGUCUUAGAUCUUCGAUCUUCGACGAUACGCAUCGAUCCUUCAAGACUCCGACUCACUUCACGAAACUUGCCAACACACAAGACUUAACAAUCUCCCCCUUUGGCAAUUUCGUGACAAAACUCACAACUAAUCAAAAAAAUUACAUCUUAAAGAAAAAUGAAGUUCAAUUGUUAUUACCAAAACAUUGAACCCCUCGCAUGUGAUCCAAAUACAAUAUGAAAUGCAAAAGUACGUUAAAACUCCUAAAACAGACUCUAU